CUCGUAGGCGGUUUGUCGCGUCGGGAGUGAAAACACCGGGCUUAACUCGGUGCUUGCUUUCGAUACGGGCAGACUAGAGGCAUUCAGGGGAGAACGGAAUUCCUGGUGUAGCGGUGAAAUGCGCAGAUAUCAGGAGGAACACCGGUGGCGAAGGCGGUUCUCUGGGAAUGUCCUGACGCUGAGGAGCGAAAGUGUGGGGAGCGAACA
rnacentral:rRNA from 1 species